rnacentral:rRNA from 1 species
AGGACGAACGCUGGCGGCGUGCUUAACACAUGCAAGUCGAACGGUGACCUUGGAGCUUGCUCCAGGCGAUCAGUGGCGAACGGGUGAGUAACACGUGAGUAACCUGCCCCUCACUCUGGGAUAACCCCGGGAAACCGGAGCUAAUACCGGAUACGACUCAAGUAGGCAUCUACAUUGAGUGGAAAGUUUUUCGGUGAGGGAUGGACUCGCGGCCUAUCAGCUUGUUGGUGAGGUAAUGGCCCACCAAGGCGACGACGGGUAGCCGGCCUGAGAGGGCGACCGGCCACACUGGGACUGAGACACGGCCCAGACUCCUACGGGAGGCAGCAGUGGGGAAUAUUGCACAAUGGGCGAAAGCCUGAUGCAGCGACGCCGCGUGAGGGAUGAAGGCCUUCGGGUUGUAAACCUCUUUCAGCAGGGAAGAAGCGAAAGUGACGGUACCUGCAGAAGAAGCACCGGCUAACUACGCGCCAGCAGCCGCGGU